rnacentral:rRNA from 1 species
UGGGAACGUGCCCUUUGGUUCGGAACAACUCCGGGAAACUUGAGCUAAUACCGGAUAAGCCCUUCGGGGGAAAGAUUUAUCGCCAAAGGAUCGGCCCGCGUCUGAUUUAGCUUGUUGGUGAGGUAAUGGCUCACCAAGGCGACGAUCAGUAGCUGGUCUGAGAAGAUGAUCAGCCACACUGGGACUGAGACACGGCCCAGACUCCGUACGGGAGCAG